rnacentral:rRNA from 1 species
UUUAUCGGCGUGGCAAACGGGUGCGUAACACGUGCUUAAUCUGCCCUGGAGUGGGGAAUAACUAUCGAAAGGUAGGUAAUUCCGCAUACGUCCCAUAUUAUGAAAUAUGUAUGGGAGAAAGAUUUAUCGCUCUAGGAGGAGAGUGCGGCCUAUUAGCUUGUUGGUAGAGUAAUAGCCUACCAAGGCUAUGAUGGGUAGCUGGUCUGAGAGGAUGAUCAGCCACAAUGGGACUGAGACACGGCCCAUACCCC